UGAUCAAUGGGUCGGUCGUGCCCUCGGUACGUACUGGCUUUAUUGGUUCUCACCUUCUAAUGAACCAUAAUGUCAUUCAUUUGAUGUUAUGGGGAAUUAGGACUGUUACCUUGAAAAAAUUAGAGUGUUUAAAGCAGGCUAACGCUUGAAUACAUUAGCAUGGAAUAAUGAAAUAGGACAUCGCAUUCUAUUUUGUUGGUUUCUAGGAUCGAUGUA
rnacentral:rRNA from 1 species